GGGGGCUCAGCUGGUGGCUGCUGGUGGGGCUCUGUGUCCUCGUCCCCCCCCCAACCUCCCAGGGGGGACCCGAGGAGGUGACACCCAGCGUCAGGACGGAGGAGUUGGGGCACCAGGAUGGGGACCCCCCCCCGGACCCCCAGCGCUGCGGCAUCACCUUCCACACCCCCAGCCCCUGCAGCCCCCGCGGGCUGCCCUCCUCCUCCUCCUCUGCCUCUCGCCGUGAGCUGGAUCAUCUCAAGAACCUCUUGCAGGACACCAAGGCCAGCCUGAGGGAGGUGGAGGAGGCGGCCACCCAAGAGGACAACGGGACCCGCUACCAGGACAUCAUCACCGAGGCGCUGCCCGCCAUCCGCGGGGCCAACCUGGAAUUCCAGGAGAGCCUGGACAACGUCCGCAGGGAGCUGGAGGCUCACGUGGCCAAGGUGGACCACCCGCGGACGGCCGAGAAGAAGGAGAAGCUGUGGAAGGGGGUUCGCGUGGUGGCCCACAUGCUACGUCUCACCAGCCACCUGGCCCAGACCCUGGAUGCCACCUCCCACCGCCUCCACGCGGAGCUGAGCCAGCGCCUGCAGAGCUCGGCCACCCGGGUCACCGCUGCCACCGCCCAGCCCUAGGACAGCGGGGACAGGCCCCACUGCCACCCCACGCCUGGCCCCGCUUGCUGGUAGGACCCCAACACACCUCCUCAUCCUGGCUUUUGGGGGGUCCCGGCUCCUCUACCUGAUGCCCAGGGUUGAGACUUAGACCAUAUGGGGGGGGACAACAAGACUUGGGCUGGGGCUGGAGCUGGCAGUGCCAUGGGGGGACGGGAGGGUGAUGGCAUCGAACACGUCAUGCCAUCGAACAUGUGAUGCCAUCGAACAUGUGAUGCCAUCGAACAUGUCAUGCCAUGUCAUGCCAUCGCACGUGCAAUGCCAUCACACACACGAUGCCAUCGCACAGGUGGUGCCAUGGAACACGUGAUGCCAUCGCACGUGUGAUAGUGUCACACACAUGAUGCCAUUCCAGAUGUGAUGCCAUCACACACACAAUGUCACUGCACAAGUAAUGCCAUUGCACACAUGAUGCCAUCACACAUGCAAUUCCAUCAUGCACACGAUGCCAUCACACACGUGAUGCCAUUGCACAUGUGAUGCCAUCACACGCAAGAUGCCAUCACACAUGCAAUUCCAUUGCGCGUGCGAUACCAUUGCACACACAAUGCCAUUGCACGUGAUGCCAUUGCACACGUGAUACCAUCAUGGAGACAAUGCCCUCGCACACACAUGAUGCCGUUACACACGCAAUGCCCACCCACACGCGUGAUGUGCCAUUGCACAUGCAAAGCCAUUGCACCUGUGAUGCCAUUGCACACGUGAUGCUGUCAUACACAUGAUGCCACCACGUGCACUAUGCCAUUGCACAUGUGAUGCCAUCACACACACGAUGCCAUCACGCACACGAUGCCAUCACACAUGCAAUACCAUCAUGCACAUGAUGACAUUACACAUGUGAUACCAUCACACACGUGAUGCCAUCGCACACACAAUGCUGUCG
rnacentral:lncRNA from 1 species